rnacentral:rRNA from 1 species
GACGAACGCUGGCGGCGUGCCUAAUACAUGCAAGUCGAGCGAAGCGGCGGAUGGGUGAGUAAGGCGUAGGUAACCUGACCUUUAGUCUGGGAUACCAUUUGGAAAAAGAUGCUAAUACCGGAUACUAAGGGUUGGACCUGCGAUGCAUUAGCUAGUGGGUAAGGUGAAGGCUUAACAAGGCGCUGAUGCAUAGCCGAGUGGAGAGGCUGACCGGCCACAUGGGGACUGAGACACGGCCCAAACUCCUAUGGGAGUCAGCAGUAGGGAAUCUUCCACAAGGGACGAAAGUCUGAUGGAGAAACGCGGCGUGAGUGAAGAAGGUUUUCGGAUCGUAAAGCUCUGUUGUUGUUGAAGCGGUAAUCAACCAGAAAGUCACGGCUAACUACGUGCCAGCAGCCGCGGUAAUUC